AACGCGAAGAACCUUACCUGGGCUCGAAAUGCUAUGGACCAGUUGGUGAAAGCCAGCCUUCCCUUAAAAGACCGUAGUAUAGGUGCUGCAUGGCUGUCGUCAGCUCGUGUCGUGAGAUGUUGGGUUAAGUCCCGCAACGAGCGCAACCCUUGUCCUGUGUUGCCAUACCGAAAGGUGGAACUCGCAGGAGACCGCCAGGGAUAACCUGGAGGAAGGUGGGGAUGACGUCAAGUCCUCAUGGCCUUUAUGUCCAGGGCUACACACGUGCUACAAUGGACGGUACAAAGGGCUGCCAACCCGCGAGGGGGAGCCAAUCCCAAAAAACCGUUCUCAGUUCGGAUUGCAGGCUGCAACUCGCCUGCAUGAAGCUGGAAUCGCUAGUAAUGGCGGAUCAGAACGCCGCCGUGAAUACGUUCCCGGGCCUUGUA
rnacentral:rRNA from 1 species